rnacentral:rRNA from 1 species
GAGCUGCUGGAUUUCUCAAGAGACUUAUCCGGCCGGCUACAGACCCUUUAGACCCAAUAAUAACGGUUACCACUCGAGCCGCCGGUGUUACCGCGGCGGCUGGCACCGGUCUUGCCCGGCCCUUGCUAUGCAAUGCUUUUUAGGCAUCACGACAGCCAGAUUUGUAACCUGGCACUCGAGGUCCCCUUAUCGCCGUUGCCGGCAUUGUAAAGUUUUCGCGCCUGCUGCACCCCGUAGGGCCUGGAUUCGUGUCUCAGAAUCCAUCUCCGGGCUCUUGCUCUCACAACCCGUACCCGUCGUAGGCUAGUAGGUACGCUACACCCACUACUACCUGAUAGGCCGCAGACCCAUCCUCUGGCGCCGGAGCUUUCGAUCUCGGGGCAUUCCAGCGACCGAGAUCUAUCGGGGAUUAUACCCAGUUUCCCGGGUUUAUACCCGUCCGGAGGGUAGGUUGUCCACGUGUUACUGAGCAGUACGCCAUGUAUUGCUACAUUCGACUC